CACAGGUUUGUGGUUAAAUAUUUGUGAGCUAGUCUGGUCCGGACGUCGUAGAGAGUUCAGGAUUUCACCACAUUUUCAGGGAGGUGUCGUAUACAAACAGGACCGUCGUACUCGAGAGCAGUGUUCAGUGCAUCAGCUAUCAGCAGAUUAAAUAUGAACCGGAGAGUUUCGUUUAUCUUAGUUUUACUAGCGGUGGUUUGUUCCAUUGCAGUUUCUGGACAUAACAGAAACUGCACUGCCUCCAACAGCACUGUGAUUCCUUGUCCACCGAGAAAUGGUUCCGGUAACCACGGACAUGGUUGGGAGGGAGGACCACCACCACCGAGGCCCCAGCCAGCAGUUCAACGAGGCUUCGUCACUGGACUACUUGAGAAGAGUGUCGAGAACGGAUCCGAAUAAAUAUUUUAGUAUGUCACAUACCAAUCGCAUCUAGAUUGUGAGGGUGAAAUAGAGGGAUUAUUGGUCAAAUAA